rnacentral:tRNA from 1 species
CAGAAAGUAGUUUAAGCUUGAAAAUUAAAGUUUUGGGAAUUUUUGAUAACAAAUUUUGUUCUUUUUGA